AGGGGGAGGAGGGCGGUGUGGGAGGGGAAGGUGUUGAUGCGGAUUUUGCAGAAGCAUGGGGUGGUGGAGGGGUGGACGCUGGAGAGAGGUGGGGGUUUUGUCGGAGAGGGAAGUUUAAGCGCUAGGGAUUCCACGAUGAGACGCAGGAAGGGGCAUGGAUCCAUGUCGCACUGUAUUAGUUAGGAAGCUGAAAGAGAAGGAUCAUCCAUGUUUUGAGAUCUCCAAUGAUGGCGAAAAGGUGUGCGAUGACCCCAACGGAGGAUCUUGACUUGUCCUACAUCAAGUACGAAGGUGAGGUUGUGCAAGGUAACUUCACUGGUUUAUUUCUUUUGUAAUCAAGUUGGAUGCUCAAUUUCUACUGGAAAAAUUUGAUUCAAUUUUCCCCUCAUUUGUUUAUUUAAUUUUUGCAGCUCUACAUUUGACUAGAUUUGUAUUUAGAUUCUUUGUGAGGAUACUCAAAUCUCCAUUGAUAGGAUAUAUCCUUAUGAAUUAUUUAGAUUCUUUGUUGUCUAUUUUAUUUUCUUUGUUGCAGAUUUAAAGUUUUUACAUUCUUAUGAAUUUAGAUCCUUAUUUACUUCUUUCUUAAUUAUUUAGAUCCUUAUGAUUUUUUUUCUUUGUCUAUUUAGAUUCUUUAUUGUCUAUUUUUAUUUUCUUCUUUAUUGCGAGGAUACUCAAAGCUCCACUGACAUGUGUGUUUUUGACUAUUUGUAGGUUACUUGGAAGUAGAUUUAGAAUAUUUCAGGAUGAGGGCUGGGUUAAAAAGCACCAAUAAAAUUCAAACCUUUAGCAUGGUCUUUGUUGCGUCUCUCGUGGCCAUUGUCUUAACUAUUCUUUUGAGUAAUACUUUGACCUUUAUGAUACAUAUUACAUGGUCUUUAUCCCAUUAAAGCCGACCUUAUUAUCUACAAGAUGCGAGGGAACCUCACCCUAUGCUGUCUUUACUUUCAGUUUUCUUUUGUAAAAACUAAACUCUUCGGGCACAAAAGCUCUAGUAGAAUAUAGUGUUGGUUUAUUAAUGGUUGGAUUGGGAUCUUAUUUCUAUCAUUAAUUGACAUUUAUUGUUAGAUAAAUGGGCACUUUUAGAACUUGAGGCAUCAGAAGUAGUGCACCAUUUGUUACUUGGCUAUAUAAAAUGUAACUUAAUAAUCCUCUACAUAUAACUUGACAAAAUUAGGCAUUGGUACAAAUAUAAGUCCACUUUAUAUCAUUGACACAUUGGAUAAUGCUUGUUCUUUUUAGUAUUCAAGCAAGUACUACUUAUGUAUAAUAAUUAAUCUUGUUAGUGCCCUUAUUAAACCUUUGAAUAUGAAUUUUAUAAUUUGGUUUUGUUUGUUACCAUAGGAAAACUGCUUUGACGCCCAUGUCGUGGAAGAUAUGUGUUGCAGAACCUGUGAAAUUAUUCACUUAUCAACACAUGCAUUACAAAGUGGGGACAUCACAGAGAAGGGACAUUUAAUCAGAAAUGUAAAGAAUCAAGAUUCUCAAUUUCUUUUUCUUCUAAUCUACACCAUGUGUGAGACAGAGAAAUUGUUCACAACACUAGCAAACUAUUAUGAUAAUGAUAUUAAUCCUGAUUCUACUAAAGGAUACAAGUCACGUGGCAUGGCAUGAGCAAUGCUUGGUCAAUGGGAAGAAGCUGCAAAGGAUCUUUAAUUGGUUUCAAAGGGAAGAACAAUCAUCUUCUAGUAGAAAUCUUGGAGGCAUGCUUUGUGGGUUUCUUGGUGGCAUGCUUUGUGACUUUCCAGGGGUUCUAAUGUUUGGUUCCAUUCUUUUUCUAUUCUAGUUAGGUUGUAAUUUUUCCCAUUUGAGGACUUAUUUGACGUGUGCCAAAACUUGAAUGUUCAUAAACUCGUAACUUAAUCAAAAUCAUUGCCAUGUACUUGUCUUUUUAUGGUUAA